GAGACUUUUGCUUGGGCUAUGUGUAGUGGUUUCUAGGUCAAACCUGACACUGGGAGCCCCCCGCCCCCGGGCGAUGUGCUCUGUGCCAGGUUCCCGCUCGCCGCACGUUGCGGGUUGUCUUGGGCGUCCACCUGCCCUUCCCCUUCCUGCUCCCGUUAGCGCGGGGAGUGUGCCGCACCGCAAGCCCCGCCGGGGACCGGGUGGAGAGCUACCAGGAGGAAACCAGCCUGUAUCUGCUUCCUCUCUAGGCUGCCGAGGUCCCACCCCAGACUCGACGUGCCGCACCCAGCAAGGGGAGGGGGAGCUCUGGGCCCGUGAUGCUGAGGGCCCCUGAGGACGUGGGUGGUCUCGGGGCUUGUCCCCAGGGGCCGGGACCACAAGCAGAACUGAGCAGCAGGCUCCAGAGAGAAGACCUGUAGCCCUGGGCCUGGUUCCAGCCAGAAACCAUCAAGCAUCAGCGGACGCACAUGGGGGAGCGGCCCCACCUCUGCCCGGACUGCAGGAAAACCUUUGCUUGGCCAGACCAGCUCCACGUGCAGCGGCGUGUGCACGCGGGGGAGAAGCCGUACCUCUGUGCCAUCUGUGGGAUCAGCUUCAGGCGCCGCUCGGUCUUCACCCAGCACCAGCUCAUCUACACCCGGGAAAAGUUGCACUGCUGCACUGCGUGUGAGGAUAGCUUCCGCACAGGUGUGCUCCUUGCCAACCACCAACGCAUCCAUGCUGGGGAGAAACCAUGUCUGUCCAGACUGCGGGAAGCACUUCCGGCACCGCUCCGCACUCACGCAGCACCAGCGUGUGCACAGCCGGGGGAGGCCACACAGCUGCCCUGACUGCGGGAAGCACUUCACCAGCUGCCCCGGCCUGCGCUUUCACCAGAGCGUGCACGAUGGGGAGAAGCCGCAUCACUGUGCAGAGUGUAAGAGGAGCUUCACCCGUGCUUACGACCUGUGUGUGCACCUGCAUGGCCACGGGGGGCAGGGACCGCACGGCUGUGGGGACUGCGGGAAGCACUUCCUUCACCCUUCGUGGCUGCACCUGCACCGGCGCGUGCGCACUGGAGAGAAGCCGUUCGGCUGUGGGGAGUGCGGGAAGAGCUUUGACCUCCGCGUGUACCAGCACAUCUGCACUGGGGAGAGGCCCUCUAGCUGUGGAAACUGCAGGAAGAGCUUCAAGUCCAGCUCAGAGCUCACCCAACACCAGCAAACUCACAGGCCAGUUCCUUGCCCCUGAUACCAGGUGUCCUCUGUCUGUUUUCACCUUCUCCCUACAGCCUGUUGCCUCUUGAGGGUAGGUCCAAUCCCUGCUCUGAAGGGAUCACCCAUCAAUUGGGUGCUGGGUUUGCGUGGCUCAGGGAGUGGGGAGCAAGGGACCUGUAGAGAGGAAUGAGGUGAGGGGCCUGCAGAGUCCUGGAUGCCAUGGUGGGAUCCUCUCCUCCAGUGAAUCUGCACUGCAGCAUUGGGAAACAAAUAAACAUUGAGCCUUUAUUACUUUGGGUCAGUGACUCGGGGGUAGAAAGCUGAAGCAAUAGGCCACUUUGCCCAGCAAUCCUACAUGUGAUGUUGUUGUGUGUCUGUUACUUCAACACCUUAACUUAGCAGCUCACCAUGGAAAGACUUAUAAUGAGAACUAUUUAUUUAUUGUAUUUAUGUCUGUUGUCUUAUUUUUAUUUCACAUCUUGAGAGAGGAGCAGAAAGGAGGGCAGCAUGACACCUUAUAACAGUAAUUUCGAGAAGCACGAGCUUUUGUAGGCAACAGCUUGCUUUGUUGGCUGCUAUGACUGUGAAUGGCCUUGCAGAGAGUACUAAACAGAAAGGAGUUAGGGGCCUUGGAUACAAAGGCUGGGGAAAGGGGGAAGGCAGGCAGGGGCACUGCAGAGACUGAUGAAGGUGACUUGGAGAAAUUAGAAAGUAGAAAUAGAAUAAAGCAGUUAACGCACUGAAGGACGGGUUAAAAAAGUUCAUUCAGACUUUAGAGUCUCUCUUGAGAACUUGUUGAGCACAAUCCCAUCUGGGGUUGAGGACAUCUUCCGCAAUCUCAAGUUGGGUUUCAAAGUUUUGCUGCGUAUGAACAGCUAUGUUCCCUGGGUGAACUGCCUAGGGAGCCUACAGUGUUCUGCUGCAGUCCUGUAUUUUUCUACAACUGAUGUCAAAUUGGUGUCUGUUCCUCCUGUCGCAUGGGGAUUGCCCCACAUGCCCAUUGUAGACAGCACAGGAGUACUAGCAGCAGGUGAUGGCGCAGUGCAGUUGGUAGAGGAGCAGGUGAAUGACCCUCCCAGAUUGCGUUGGUGGUGCUUCUCUCCAGAGUGACCAGAGCCUGCGUACAGGAGCAGCAAUCGGCUCACAGUUGUAUCUGGAUGGGAAAUGGGCAGUGCUGCCUCUGCCCUUUCCUCAGUGCUGUCCCCCAGGCAAAGAGCAGAAUCAUAGAGUCAGGCUGGAAGGGCUCUCCGAAGCUCACCUAGUCCAGCCCCCUGACAGAGGAAGGGUCCUCCCUGUCCCAACCACUUGUACUGAGCCAUGCCUACAGUAUUACUAAAAUAAUUUGAUCAAUCCUGUCACCCAGCUGCAAGGCUGAGCAACUGAACUUUCCACGGGUAAAACAGGGACGCUAGUGUGCAGGAUCCUGUGGGUACAAAGGUCGUUAAAAGUGUGCCUGAGGGGUCCAAGCUAGAGCCCAUACCCUCUGCUACAGAGGAAGGCAAACAACCCUCCCUCCCUUCCCACAGUUUGAGCACAGGUAUAAUUUCUGACCACAAAUGUGGAGACAGGUCUGACUGAGCAGAGAGGCAAGACCGUGUAGGCAGGAACCUCUGGUUUUAGUCAGUUCCCCAGCCUUGGAUGCAGCCAGCACCAAACGCUUCUGAGGAAGGUGAGAAAAACACCCUGACGUAUAUCAAUGUGGGGGGAAAUUCCUUCCCAGCCCUAUUCAGCACCCAAAGCCCAACAACAUGGGGAUUACCAACAUGGUAUAUAAGCAUAUCUACUGCCAGAGCAUUCCUGACCUGUGCUUGUCCAAGCUUUUACUAAACACUUCUGAGGACAGGAGAGUCCGCAGCUUCCCUGGAUGUCUAUUCUGCUACCUCCCUGCUCUAACACUGACAUAGUUCUUCCAUUUUUGUAGCUUUUCAGGUUUAGAAUAAUUUUGUUUUCUGCCACCAGAAAAGCUCCCACAAGAGAGGCAGCUCCUGAGAGGGGGGUCUCCACUAGGAGCUGUAGGGAUCCAGGAUCCCUCCCGUGAAGCAUCCCAGUGGUGGGGACAAGCCAGUGUGCUGUGAACUGAUGGUGCCUUCCCUCCUCAGUGACUCCAGCCUGCCUCAAGCUGUGGCUGUCUGUGGACUGCUGCUACCAGUCUGUGGUCAGCCAGGCUUCGUGAAGCUCCUCCACACAGGCAUGGCUUCUGGGGCCAGAGGGCUGGCUGGGAAGAACUGGUGUUGGCACCCCUUUGCAGCUGGGUUGCAUGGUGCCCACUCCCACGGGUGUAGAUUUGCUAAAGCCCAGCCCCAGAAGCACUUUCUUUCCCCUGCAGUAGGUAGAUAUGAAACAGGUUCCCCUGAGAUGACACUCCAUGGAAACCCUUGACCUCUGCCCUUUGGCUUAUGAUACAUUGGAGGGGGACCUGGCAGCAGGACAGUCUCGCAUGCUGGGGCCUCGGCCACUGCAAGGGGACAGUGACAAGAUUCAUAGAUUCAUAGAUGUUAGGGUCGGA